rnacentral:misc_RNA from 1 species
GAAGAAGAAGAAGAAAAGAGAAGAAAGAUUUUGCUAGCUACCUUCUCUCCUCCCCAUUCUUGUCAUCCAAGUUGUUCUUGCUUCAAAUAUUAUUCUCUCCUUGUUCUGUCUCUCUCAAAUUCAAUUUGGUUUUACAUUGUUCCUUGCUUUACCUCGCAUGAGCCACUCAUAUUAUCAAUGAUAUUUCAUGACUGGUUGAAUGGGGUUUGAUAACUACAAGUAGAAAAUAAUCUUGAAAAUCCUAAGUGUUAAAUAUCCCAUCUAAAAUCAAAUUUUUUAUCUGAUGUUGAUCAGAAUGAUUUAAUAAUCUAUAUGUAGAUUUGUAUAUGCAUCUUUUUCUCAUUUUCUUAAAAUUUUUUGCAGGCCCCAGGGAGUAGGAGGCUUUAGCACUGAGGGAGGUGCUUUUGGUGCCAUAAAUAUGGAUCAACGGUUGGCUGGUAGAUUCUCAGCCCCUGCUACCCCGUCGCCUUUCUCUUCUGUUGGAGGGAACCCUUUUGGAUGAGCUUGUUGAUGCAUCAGCUUGUUGCCUCCUUCAAAUUACUGGGCUGAAAGUUUUGGUUUUAUUAUUUAACUUGAAUCAUCCAGCCAAAUUGAACAAUGCUCAUGUUUAUCAAGCGUUAGGGUCAAAUGUCCAUAUGAUCCCUGAAAAUUAAUUUGAGAGAGUGAGCAGUUUUAUAAAUUAUAAGAGUGGACACGUCGGUGGGGAUUUAAUCAUUUAGGUCUGCUCCUAGAAGUCAUCCCCCCACCCCACCUGUAUGAUUUUGUAAUUUCUUCAUAUUAUGGUGAUCUGUUUGAGUCUGUGAAAAGCGUGUGGAUCAUUUACAAAUAGUUUUGAGUACAAUUUGUAUGCAUAUAUUGUUGAGAUGAUUUUUCUUUCAAGACUUCUUAAGUAUAAUUUGAUAUUUGCAUCCCAUUUGGC